rnacentral:piRNA from 1 species
UUUAGUCAAGUAAAGUAAACU